rnacentral:rRNA from 1 species
CCUACGGGUGGCAGCAGUGAGGAAUAUUGGUCAAUGGGCGGAAGCCUGAACCAGCCAAGUCGCGUGAGGGAAGAAGGUACUGAGUAUUUUAAGCCUCUUUUGCCAGGGGACAAAGGCGGCCACGGGUGGCCGUAAGAGGGUACCUGGAGAAAAAGCAUCGGCUAGCUCCGUGCCAGCAGCCGAGGUACUCCGGAGGAUGCGAGGGUUAUCCGGAUUUAUGGGGUUUAAAGGGUGCGCAGGCGGCGUGUCAAGUCAUCGGUAAAAUGUCGGGGCUCAACCCCGGCCGGCCGUUGAAACUGGCGGGCUCGAGUUGGAGAGAAGGAUGCGGAAUUCGUGGUGUAGCGGUGAAAUGCAUAGAGAUCACGAAGAACCCCGAUUGCGAAGGCAGCAUACCGGCUCCAGACUGACGCUGAGGCACGAAAGCGUGGGUAUCGAACAGGAUUAGAUACCCUAGUAGUC